rnacentral:rRNA from 1 species
UACAGAGGUCCCAAGCGUUGUUCGGAUUCACUGGGCGUAAAGGGUGCGUAGGUGGCGAGGUUAGUCAGGUGUGAAAUCUCGGGGCUCAACCCCGAAACUGCACUUGAUACUGCCUUGCUAGAGUACUGGAGAGGAGAUUGGAAUUUACGGUGUAGCAGUGAAAUGCGUAGAUAUCGUAAGGAAGACCAGUGGCGAAGGCGAAUCUCUGGACAGUUACUGACACUGAGGCACGAAGGCCAGGGGAGCAAACGGG